GUGUGCCACUCCUUACUAGUGAGAAACAGACAGCUCAUGUACUAUGAUUGGCAUGCACCUCAGUGUCUGCAACUCUUUUGCUGCAGUUGCUCUAUUAAAAACCAAUUAACUUCAAAGGAAUGCCCUGCUCAAUGGAUCUGCCACCAGCAUUGCCUUUCCUGGGCCGUAACUUCUUCUUACGUUAUGGUGCUGGAAUCUCAAUAACAUGCAUUGGAAUCACUUGGCUGUAUUCAGCAAUGGCUUCUUCAUCUGCACAUCUACCUGAUAGAAUCAUUGGAUUCCAAAGAGCACAUAAGUCAGAGGCUAGCUGUGGGCUUUUUUCAGUGGCAACAAAGGAGCAACUAACAAGACCGAUUUAAAUCAGGACCAGACGGACAUGUUUAUGGCCCAUCAAGAAGAAUCCCCUCUCCCACCGACUCCUCAGAGUGGGCAUGUACACAAUGAGGGCUGCCUAACCCCCACGUCGCUGCAAGGAUCUUUCUAGCACCUGGAGAAAAAGUAUAAAUGAGGGUUG